rnacentral:lncRNA from 10 species
CCUGGGGGAGGCCUCAGCUGCUUCCACUCAUGGGGGAGGGGAAGGGGAGCCCACGUGUGCUCAGAUCACGUGGGGGAGAGGAAGCAAGGGGGGCAGGUGCAGGCUCUUGAACAACCAGCUCUGGAAAAAACCAACAACUCCCUCCCGCCCCUGGGUAGGGUAUUAAUCUAUUCACGAGGGAUUCGUGCCCAUGACCCAAGAACUUCCUUAGGCCUCACCUUCGAUAUAUGGGAUCAGUUCCAACUGAGGUUUGGAGGAGUCAGACAAACCCUCGCGAACUCUAGCGGAAGCUGCGGGCGUUCUGGAGCUGGACGGCGGCGACGGCAGCGCGACAGUGUCACUGUGCUGCAAGUCAACGAACUGUUCAUGGAAACACGGUUAAAAUCGUGAUUCUUACGCUUUGAAUAUUUUACCACAUUUUUUUUUUAAGGCAGAUUCCUUUCAAUCAUCUGAGUGAGCCCAGUGCAAUCUGAAGAGUCCCUACAGGUGGAAGAGGCAGGGGCCAGGAUCCAAGGAGCACCACAGCCUCUGGAAGCCGGGCAAGGAAGUGGACACCCCGGGAGCCUCCAGCAGGAAGGAAGCCCCGCGGACGCCCUAACUUCAGCUCAGCAGACCUGGUCAGAUUUCCGGCCUGCAGCUCUGUUAAGGGGAGACGUUUGUGUUGUUUGAGGCCACCGAGCCUGGUCAUCUGCGCCGGCAGCCGCAGGAGCCCAGGCCACCAUCCCCACGAGUCCCAAGUUUCUUCAGCAUUGCAAUGCGGUUGAAAGACUACAGUUGUCUGUCACUUGUCAUCUGAUUUAGCUCUGUGACUGUUCUGGAAGCAAAGCUCAAUUGUGGAGGAUUUCUGGGACUGGUCAUUAGAAGGACAGACAGCUGGAGUAUCCUUUGAUCUCACCACUCUUCCCAUUUCUCCCUUCUAUUCUCUGGAGUGUGGGUGUGAUGGCUGAUGGCUGGAGCUCUGCCAGCCAUUUUUGACCAUGAGGCAUCCUGAAAGAUUUUAGAUUCAUGUUUGCAUCAUGGAGCUGCCGCACUGGUCUUGCCUGCUUUAGGACUUUUUUUUUCCUUUGAGACAUGGUCUUGUUCUGUCACCAAAGCUGGAAUGCAGUGGCGAGGGCUCAAGCCAUUCUCCCACCUCAGCUUCUCGAGUAGAUGGGACCACAGGUGUGUGCCACCAUGCCCAGAUUUUUUUGUUUUCAUUAUUAUUUGCAAAGAUGGGGCUUGCUAUGUUGCUCAGGCUCGUCUUGAACUGGGCUCAAGCGAUUCUCCCACUUUGGCCUCCCAAAGUGCUGGGAUUACAGACAUGAGCCACCACACCCAACUUGCUUUAGGAUCUUUUUAAAAAGUGAGAUGGAGAAGUAAAGCUUCUAUUUUAUCUAAACCAUUGUUAUUUCUAGUCUCUAUUAUGAGUCCAAGUACGAAUCCCAAUUGAUCCACUGAGUCAGUGAGUACAAAAUUUCCCUCUAGCAUGUUUGGCACUCAUUUACAUGUGAGAGCAUGUUUCUUCUUAUUUUUGCAGAAUUCAGGUAUAAAAAUUUUAGGCUGAGCAUGGUGGUUUACACCUGUAAUCCCAGUAC